UACGUAGGGGGCUAGCGUUGUCCGGAUUUAUUGGGCGUAAAGAGCUCGUAGGCGGCUCAGUAAGUCGGGUGUGAAACCUCCAGGCUCAACCUGGAGACGCCACCUGAUACUGCUGUGGCUAGAGUCCGGUAGGGGAGCGGUGGAAUUCCUGGUGUAGCGGUGAAAUGCGCAGAUAUCAGGAGGAACACCAGCGGCGAAGGCGGCGCUCUGGGCCGGAACUGACGCUGAGGAGCGAAAGCGUGGGUAGCAAACAGG
rnacentral:rRNA from 1 species